rnacentral:rRNA from 1 species
UACGUAGGUGGCAAGCGUUGUCCGGAUUUACUGGGCGUAAAGAGCGCGCAGGCGGUCGUUCAAGUCGCGUGUGAAAGCCCCCGGCUCAACUGGGGAGGGUCACGCGAUACUGAUCGACUCGAAGGCAGGAGAGGGUAGUGGAAUUCCCGGUGUAGUGGUGAAAUGCGUAGAUAUCGGGAGGAACACCAGUGGCGAAGGCGACUACCUGGCCUGUUCUUGACGCUGAGGCACGAAGGCCAGGGGAGCAAACGGG